CACGUUGUAUCGUGUGCAUAGUCUAGACUUUGCUCACAAGCAAGAUGGCGGUUUCAUGAGAAAUGCUGCUGUAGUUGUUUUCGAAAGAAAUCCUCUCACUAAACCUGCAUCUUAGGAUGUUUGUGACCCGAAGGAGCUGAACAAGAAAGCAAAGAGCUUUCAUUUAAACGGAAGAAUAAACAGAUGAAGAAGAAUGCAUCCCCGACAACAUAGAUGCCAGUCACGUAAAAAAAAACCUUAUUUCAACUUUCAUUCGAAUGCAUCAGGACCACAACACUGCUGUCUGUAUCUUCAUAAAUACUUUCGCCUUGUGUUAUAUGAAGACAAUUAGAAACGAAUGAAUUGGUCUGUUGCAAUGCCAUGAAUUCUAAGCACACUCAUUAUUGCAUAAAAUCAUCUGGUAACAUUCCGGGGUAACAUUCUUCCUGAUACGUUCUUCUCUCAGCUACAUUCCAUGCUUUGUCAUGUAAAUUGGCGCCAGCGUUGACCGCUGCAGACGACUGAACUUAGUACAAAAUUAGUGCGUCAUCUCAUCUUAAUCACGUGAUGACCGAACAUUCGCAUUAUUUUCCCCGAGGCAAGACUGGAGGACUUGAACGUCAAACAAAGUCGCGAAAAUUAAUUCAAGGGGAAUUGUUUGUGUUGCAGACAGCAUUAUCAUAAUCAGCUGGUUUUAAUAUUUUCAACGAUGGAAACUUGGAAUAUUGUAUCAGUUUUAGAAGAAUUCAUAAAAAAAACUUCCUUGACUCCCGGAUUUGACUACCACUACCAGUAACUCAUCGUUAGCAGGCAAGGAUGCUCGCGCCAGAGCUAGACCGCUCGGUACCGCAAUAUCUCCGGGGAGACCAGUCCGAACCUCUUGGGAGAUUUGUUGAUGGAUCUCCGCCGAACACCGUGACUGUUGGAUUAUUCUAUCCAUGACUUUAUCAACAUAAUCUUGAUAUUUUGUGAACGUUUGCGGGUGAAGGAAUGUUUCUGGAGCUGCUCCACUGGAUUUCAUUUGAAAAAAAAACUUGUUUUGGAACUGAUGUCCAUGUUUGGAUUGUUACUUUGUAUUAUGGAUGGAUUCACGGUGACGGUCAUCAACGAGGACCAGAUGAACAAGAUCCGAGACUGAGCAAAAGGUUCCUGUCUGAGUGAGUCAUUUUAUCCAUAGACCAAUAAUGCAAUAUUACUGAUCUUAAUAACAUUAUGAAAUUUAUGGAAAAGGGUUGUAAGAUUGGAUUUAAUGCCAGGAUUUGUAGUUUAAGUCAGUUAGGCCAAAUUGUUAGGUGAUAGGAGCCUGACUUAAGUCUUGGUCUUACUUGCCCUUUUCUGUAAGAUUCACAGUGUUGUAUCAAGAAGAUUGCUGCGUUGUGACCUAUGGAUAAUAGAUUUUUUAAAGAAUCUUAUGUGCCGAAAGCCUUACAACUUUUUUUUCUUACAAAAAGGUUGUAAAGCUUUUUUGUGUAAUUUCGAUAAUGAUAUUAUUGUUAUCGAAUGUCGUUCCGUACAUCCAGGGGCCACGGAAACGAGGACACUUUUUGUUAAAUAGCUGUGUCCAAAAACAUUUAAAAAUAUCAUCUGAUUGUGAUUGUUUGCAUUAUCAGUCCCCUCUUUUGGCUCCGUACCCCUACCCCCCCCCCCCCC
rnacentral:lncRNA from 1 species